ACACAUGCAGUCGAACGAUGGACUUUNGUGCUUGCACAGAAUGAUUAGUGGCGAACGGGUGAGUAACACGUGAGUAACCUGCCCCUGACUCUGGGAUAAGCCUGGGAAACUGGGUCUAAUACCGGAUAUGCACCGUGGACCGCAUGGUUUUUGGUGGAAAGAUUUUUUGGUCAGGGAUGGACUCGCGGCCUAUCAGCUUGUUGGUGAGGUAAUGGCUCACCAAGGCGACGACGGGUAGCCGGCCUGAGAGGGUGACCGGCCACACUGGGACUGAGACACGGCCCAGACUCCUACGGGAGGCAGCAGUGGGGAAUAUUGCACAAUGGGCGAAAGCCUGAUGCAGCGACGCCGCGUGAGGGAUGACGGCCUUCGGGUUGUAAACCUCUUUCAGUAGGGAAGAAGCGAAAGUGACGGUACCUGCAGAAGAAGCGCCGGCUAACUACGUGCCAGCAGCCGCGGUAAUACGUAGGGCGCAAGCGUUAUCCGGAAUUAUUGGGCGUAAAGAGCUCGUAGGCGGUUUGUCGCGUCUAUCGUGAAAGUCCGAGGCUCAACCUCGGAUCUGCGGUGGGUACGGGCAGACUAGAGUGAUGUAGGGGAGACUGGAAUUCCUGGUGUAGCGGUGAAAUGCGCAGAUAUCAGGAGGAACACCGAUGGCGAAGGCAGGUCUCUGGGCAUUAACUGACGCUGA
rnacentral:rRNA from 1 species